ACCCGAUGAAGAAGCAAUCCCAAAAGAUAGGAAGUGCCGUAUGACACUUUACACAACAGCUAGCGU
rnacentral:snoRNA from 14 species